AGGACAGUCCUGGACAACGAAGUCCUCUGUCCAUAUAAUAGGUACAUAAUAGGCAUUGGGAAAGCAAGUUCCCCCCCCACAUCCUGCCAACUUGCCUCACCCUUGACCUGAAAGGAGCAGCUCUCUCGGUGAGAGAGCAGUUGUCUCUAUGCUAAUUCAGUUUUUUCUCUC
rnacentral:sRNA from 1 species